rnacentral:rRNA from 1 species
UAACACAUGCAAGUCGAACGAAGCGAUUAGGAUGAAGUUUUCGGAUGGAUUCCUGGUUGACUGAGUGGCGGACGGGUGAGUAACGCGUGGAUAACCUGCCUCACACUGGGGGAUAACAGUUAGAAAUGGCUGCUAAUACCGCAUAAGCGCACAGUACCGCAUGGUACGGUGUGAAAAACCCAGGUGGUGUGAGAUGGAUCCGCGUCUGAUUAGCCAGUUGGCGGGGUAACGGCCCACCAAAGCGACGAUCAGUAGCCGACCUGAGAGGGUGACCGGCCACAUUGGGACUGAGACACGGCCCAAACUCCUACGGGAGGCAGCAGUGGGGAAUAUUGCACAAUGGGCGCAAGCCUGAUGCAGCGACGCCGCGUGAGUGAAGAAGUAUCUCGGUAUGUAAAGCUCUAUCAGCAGGGAAGAAAAUGACGGUACCUGACUAAGAAGCCCCGGCUAACUACGUGCCAGCAGCCGCGGUAAUACGUAGGGGGCAAGCGUUAUCCGGAUUUACUGGGUGUAAAGGGAGCGUAGACGGCGACGCAAGUCUGGAGUGAAAGCCCGGGGCCCAACCCCGGGACUGCUUUGGAAACUGUGUUGCUGGAGUGCAGGAGAGGUAAGUGGAAUUCCUAGUGUAGCGGUGAAAUGCGUAGAUAUUAGGAGGAACACCAGUGGCGAAGGCGGCUUACUGGACUGUAACUGACGUUGAGGCUCGAAAGCG